GUUUAUUGUGGAUAACAUUGUAAAAAAUUGUACUAAAUAAAUUUAUUUUUCUUUCUGUCAUCUUGUAAAUUAUAGCAAUACUUGUUGAAAGAAGGAAACAAAUUUUCUAGGUCCAGAGAGAAGCCAGUACAAAAAAAUGUUAUUACCAGGUCAGAACAGGUAACUCCGGAGGUAGAACCUGGAAAUGAUGAGAGGCUGUCAAAGAAAAAAGGCAACAAAGUAAGUAUUUUUAAAUUAUGGAUAUAUUCUUUUACAACUUAUAAUCUAUCAGAUAUAACUUUAAUUCUUG
rnacentral:lncRNA from 1 species